UACGUAGGGUGCAAGCGUUGUCCGGAAUUAUUGGGCGUAAAGAGCGCGUAGGCGGUCUGUUAAGUCGGCUGUGAAAGUCAGGGGCUCAACCCUUGAAAGCCGGCCGAUACUGUCGGACUAGAGUCCGGAAGAGGCAAGUGGAAUUCCCGGUGUAGCGGUGAAAUGCGCAGAUAUCAGGAGGAACACCGAUGGCGAAGGCAGGUCUCUGGGCAUUAACUGACGCUGAGGAGCGAAAGCAUGGGGAGCGAACAGG
rnacentral:rRNA from 1 species